UCGCUACUACCGAUUGAAUGGCUUAGUGAGCUCCAUGGACUGUUUUGUGGUAGGGGGUCUCUCUUACUACUAUACGGGAAGUGGAUCAAACUUGAUCAUUUAGAGGAAGUAA
rnacentral:rRNA from 1 species